ACAACAUUCGGACUGUCGGUCUACCGAGCGAUAUCACCAGCUUGGUGAAAGACCUUUGUCUC
rnacentral:pre_miRNA from 1 species